GAACGCUGGCGGCAUGGAUUAGGCAUGCAAGUCGAACGAGAAACUCUUCGGAGUGGAAAGUGGCGAAAGGGUGAGUAACGCGUGAGUAACUUGCCUCCAAAUCGAGGAUAACAGUUGGAAACGACUGCUAAUACUGGAUGUGAUAAAAGAAUCGCAUGUUUCUUUUAUUAAAGAUCCGUUGUUUGGAGAUAGGCUCGCGUCCCAUUAGUUUGUUGGUAAGGUAACGGCUUACCAAGACUUUGACGGGUAGGUGGUCUGAGAGGAUGGUCACCCACACUGGGACUGAGACACUGCCCAGACUCCUGCGGGAGGCUGCAGUCGAGAAUCUUCCGCAAUGCGCGAAAGCGUGACGGAGCAAUGCCGCGUGAAUGAUGAAGGCCUUCGGGUCGUAAAGUUCUGUCAGGGGUGAAGAACAUUGACAUUAACCCCAGAGGAAGCCACGGCUAACUACGUGCCAGCAGCCGCGGUAAU
rnacentral:rRNA from 1 species